rnacentral:rRNA from 1 species
AGAACGAACGCUGGCGGCAGGCUUAACACAUGCAAGUCGAACGGUUGUAGCAAUACAGCAGUGGCAGACGGGUGAGUAACACGUGGGAACCUUCCUAGGGGUACGGAACAACUCAGGGAAACUUGAGCUAAUACCGUAUACGUCCGUGAGGAGAAAGAUUUAUCGCCCUUAGACGGGCCCGCGUAGGAUUAGGUAGUUGGUGGGGUAAUGGCCUACCAAGCCUACGAUCCUUAGCUGAUCUGAGAGGAUGAUCAGCCACACUGGGACUGAGACACGGCCCAGACUCCUACGGGAGGCAGCAGUGGGGAAUCUUGGACAAUGGGCGCAAGCCUGAUCCAGCCAUGCCGCGUGAGUGAAGAAGGCCUUCGGGUUGUAAAGCUCUUUACCAGGGACAAUAAUGACGGUACCUGGAGAAGUAAGCCCCGGCAAACUCGUGCCAGCAGCCGC